rnacentral:rRNA from 1 species
AAUGAACGAUGGCGGCAAGCAUAACACAUGCAAGUAGAGCGGAGCGGAGGACGGGUGAGUAAUGCCUAGGAAUCUGCCUGGAAGUGGGGGAUAACGUCCGGAAACGGGCGCUAAUACCGCAAACCAACAGAUGAGUCAAGGUCGGAUUAGCUAGUUGGGGGGGUAAAGGCCUACCACGGCGACGAUCCGUAACUGGUCUGAGAGGAUGAUCAGUCACACUGGAACUGAGACGCGGGCCAGACUCCUACGGGAGUCAGCAGUGGGGAAUAUUGGACAAUGGGCGAAAGCCUGAUGCAGCCAUGCCGCGUGUAUGAAGAAGGCCUUAGGGUUGUAAAGUACUUUCAGCGUUGAGGCGUUACCCGCAGAAGAAGCACCGGCUAACUCCGUGCCAGCAGCCGCGGUAAUUC